rnacentral:rRNA from 1 species
GAUGAACGCUGGCGGCGUGCCUAAUACAUGCAAGUCGAGCGAACGGACGAGAAGCUUGCUUCUCUGAUGUUAGCGGCAGACGGGUGAGUAACACGUGGAUAACCUACCUAUAAGACUGGGAUAACUUCGGGAAACCGGAGCUAAUACCGGAUAAUAUUUUGAACCGCAUGGUUCAAAAGUGAAAGACGGUCUUGCUGUCACUUAUAGAUGGAUCCGCGCUGCAUUAGCUAGUUGGUAAGGUAACGGCUUACCAAGGCAACGAUGCAUAGCCGACCUGAGAGGGUGAUCGGCCACACUGGAACUAAGACACGGUCCAGACUCCUACGGGAGGAAGCAGUAGGGAAUCUUCCGCAAUGGGCGCAAGCCUGACGGAGCAACGCCGCGUGAGUGAUGAAGGUCUUCGGAUCGUAAAACUCUGUUAUUAGGGAAGAACAUAUGUGUAAGUAACUGUGCACAUCUUGACGGUACCUAAUCAGAAAGCCACGGCUAACUACGUG